CCCGCACAAGCAGCGGAGCAUGUGGUUAAUUCGAAGCAACGCGAAGAACCUUACCUAGACUUGACAUCUCCUGAAUUACCCGUAACUGGGGAAGCUCUUCGGAGCAGGAAGACAGGUGGUGCAUGGUUGUCGUCAGCUCGUGUCGUGAGAUGUUGGGUUAAGUCCCGCAACGAGCGCAACCCUUAUCGUUAGUUGCUACCAUUAAGUUGAGCACUCUAGCGAGACUGCCCGGGUUAACCGGGAGGAAGGUGGGGAUGACGUCAAAUCAUCAUGCCCCUUAUGUCUAGGGCUACACACGUGCUACAAUGGUGAGGACAAAGAGACGCAAGACCGCGAGGUGGAGCAAAUCUCACAAACCUCAUCCCAGUUCGGAUUGCAGGCUGAAACUCGCCUGCAUGAAGCCGGAGUUGCUAGUAAUCGCGAAUCAGCAUGUCCGCGGUCGAAUACGUUCCGGGCCUU
rnacentral:rRNA from 1 species